UACAGAGGUCUCAAGCGUUGUUCGGAUUCAUUGGGCGUAAAGGGUGCGUAGGUGGCGGGGUAAGUCAGGUGUGAAAUCUCGGGGCUCAACCCCGAAACUGCACUUGAUACUGCCUUGCUCGAGUACUGGAGAGGAGAUUGGGAAUUUACGGUGUAGCAGUGAAAUGCGUAGAUAUCGUGAAGGAAGACCAGUGGCGAAGGCGAAUCUCUGGACAGUUACUGACACUGAGGCACGAAGGCCAGGGGAGGCAAACGGG
rnacentral:rRNA from 1 species